rnacentral:rRNA from 1 species
GACGAACGCUGGCGGCGUGCCUAAUACAUGCAAGUAGAACGCACAGUUUAUACCGUAGCUUGCUACACCAUAGACUGUGAGUUGCGAACGGGUGAGUAACGCGUAGGUAACCUGCCUGGUAGCGGGGGAUAACUAUUGGAAACGAUAGCUAAUACCGCAUAAUAUUGAUUAUUGCAUGAUAAUUGAUUGAAAGAUGCUAUUGCAUCACUACCAGAUGGACCUGCGUUGUAUUAGCUAGUAGGUGAGGUAACGGCUCACCUAGGCGACGAUACAUAGCCGAACUGAGAGGGUGAUCGGCCACACUGGGACUGAGACACGGCCCAGACUCCUACGGGAGGCAGCAGGAGGGAAUCUUCGGCAAUGGACGAAAGUCUGACCGAGCAACGCCGCGGGAGUGAAGAAGGUUGUCGGAUCGUAAAGCUCUGUUGUAAGAGAAGAACGGGUGUGAGAGUGGAAAGUUCACACUGUGACGGUAUCUUACCAGAAAGGGACGGCUAACUACGUG